GUCUACGGCCAAACCACCCUAAACAUGCCCAAUCUCAUCUGGUCUCAAAAGCUAAGCAGGGUCAAGCCUGAUUAGUACUUAGAUGGGAGACAAAUAUUCCAAAGAGACUACUCAGAGACAGUUUGGAGACA
rnacentral:rRNA from 1 species